CCUAUGGGAGGCAGCAGUGAGGAAUAUUGGUCAAUGGGCGCGAGCCUGAACCAGCCAAGCAGCGUGAAGGAUGACUGCCCUACGGGUUGUAAACUCUUUUUAUAAAGGAAUAAAGUGAGGCACGUGUGCCUUUUUGUAUGUACUUUAUGUAUAAGGAUCGGCUAACCCCGGGCCAGCAGCCGCGGUAAUACGGUGGAUCCGAGCGUUACGCGGAUUUAUUGGGUUUAAAGGGAGCGUAGGUGGAUUGUUAAGUCAGUUGUGAAAGUUUGCGGCUCAACCGGACAAUUGCAGUUGAAACUGGGAGUCUUGAGUACAGUAGAGGUGGGCGGAAUUCGUGGUGUAGCGGUGAAAUGCUUAGAUAUCUCGAAGAACUCCGAUUGCGAAGGCAGUUCACUGGACUGCAACUGACACUGAGGCUCGAAAGUGUGGGUAUCAAACAGGAUUAGAUACCCGAGUAGUC
rnacentral:rRNA from 1 species